GUGGGGAAUAUUGGACAAUGGGCGAAAGCCUGAUCCAGCCAUGCCGCGUGUGUGAAGAAGGUCUUCGGAUUGUAAAGCACUUUAAGUUGGGAGGAAGGGCAGUAAGUUAAUACCUUGCUGUUUUGACGUUACCGACAGAAUAAGCACCGGCUAACUUAGUGCCAGCAGCCGCGGUAAUACGAAGGGUGCAAGCGUUAAUCGGAAUUACUGGGUGUAAAGCGCGCGUAGGUGGUUUUGUAAGUUGGAGGUGACAUCCCCGGGCUCAACCUGGGAACUGCCUCCAAAACUGCAUGACUAGAGUACGGUAGAGGGUAGUGGAAUUUCCUGUGUAGCGGUGAAAUGCGUAGAUAUAGGAAGGAACACCAGUGGCGAAGGCGACUACCUGGACUGAUACUGACACUGAGGUGCGAAAGCGUGGGGAGCAAACAGGAUUAGAAACCCGAGUAGUCC
rnacentral:rRNA from 1 species